AAGCGAAACGCCCCGAAGUUCGGGGCGUCUGCCGGUGGUGGUUCACCGGUACUGAUGAGCAGCCGGAG
rnacentral:hammerhead_ribozyme from 1 species